rnacentral:lncRNA from 1 species
CAGGUCUUCAAUUUAGCGAGAAAUUCCCGCACCCGGAGGCGUCCUUCAGCUGGCCCCUGAACAAAUAUAUACUAGUCCAGUGAUAAUGAACGCCAUACUAAUUUCCAAAUUGUACACAAGAAACUAAAAUUAAAAUAAUACAAGACUAACAAAGGCCAGAGGCUCCUGACUUGGGACAGGCGCAAAAAUGCGGCGGGGUUAAACAUGUUUGUGAGAUCUCAACCCUCCCC